rnacentral:rRNA from 1 species
AGCAGCCGCGGUAUUCCAGCUCCAAUAGCGUAUAUUAAAGUUGUUGCAGUUAAAAAGCUCGUAGUUGAAUUUCGGGGUCAGUAGGUUGGUCGUGCCACCGGUACGUACUGGUCUCACUGAUUCCUCCUUCCUGAUGAGCUGUAAUGCCAUUAAUUUGGUGUUGCAGGGAAUCUGGACUGUUACUUUGAAAAAAUUAGAGUGUUUAAAGCAGGCUAACGCUUGAAUACAUUAGCAUGGAAUAAUGAAAUAGGACGUUCGAUCCUAUUUUGUUGGUUUCUAGGAUUGACGUAAUGAUUAAUAGGGAUAGUUGGGGGCAUUAGUAUUCAAUUGUCAGAGGUGAAAUUCUUGGAUUUAUUGAAGACUAACUACUGCGAAAGCAUUUGCCAAGGAUGUUUUCAUUAAUCAAGAACGAAAGUUAGGGGAUCGAAGACGAUCAGAUACCGUCGUAGUCUUAACCAUAAACUAUGCCGACUAGGGAUCGGAUGAUGU